ensembl:snRNA U6 U6 spliceosomal RNA
GUUCUUGCCUUGGCAGCACAUAAACUAAAACCGACAAUACAGAGAAGAUGAGCAUGGUCCCUGUGCAAACAUAGCAUGCAAAUGUCCAUAAAAAAGAAUGCUAUUU